rnacentral:rRNA from 1 species
AUUGAACGCUGGCGGCAUGCCUUACACAUGCAAGUCGAACGGUAACAGGUCUUCGGACGCUGACGAGUGGCGAACGGGUGAGUAAUACAUCGGAACGUGCCCAGUCGUGGGGAUAACUACUCGAAAGAGUAGCCAAUACCGCCUACGAUCUGCGGAUGAAAGCGGGGGACCUUCGGGCCCCGCGCGAUUGGGGCGGCCGAUGGCAGAUUAGGUAGUUGGUGGGAUAAAAGCUUACCAAGCCGACGAUCUGUAGCUGGUCUGAGAGGACGACCAGCCACACUGGGACUGAGACACGGCCCAGACUCCUACGGGAGGCAGCAGUGGGGAAUUUUGGACAAUGGGCGAAAGCCUGAUCCAGCAAUGCCGCGUGCAGGAUGAAGGCCUUCGGGUUGUAAACUGCUUUUGUACGGAACGAAAAAGUCUCCUCUAAUACAGGAGGCCCAUGACGGUACCGUAAGAAUGAGCACCGGCUAACUACGUGCCAGCCGCCGCUGUAA